GAUGAACGCUGGCGGCGUGCCUAAUACAUGCAAGUCGAGCGAACGGACGAGAAGCUUGCUUCUCUGAUGUUAGCGGCGGACGGGUGAGUAACACGUGGAUAACCUACCUAUAAGACUGGGAUAACUUCGGGAAACCGGAGCUAAUACCGGAUAAUAUUUUGAACCGCAUGGUUCAAAAGUGAAAGACGGUCUUGCUGUCACUUAUAGAUGGAUCCGCGCUGCAUUAGCUAGUUGGUAAGGUAACGGCUUACCAAGGCAACGAUGCAUAGCCGACCUGAGAGGGUGAUCGGCCACACUGGAACUGAGACACGGUCCAGACUCCUACGGGAGGCAGCAGUAGGGAAUCUUCCGCAAUGAGCGAAAGCCUGACGAAGCAACGCCGCGUGAGUGAUGAAGGUCUUCGGAUCGUAAAACUCUGUUAUUAGGGAAGAACAUAUGUGUAAGUAACUGUGCACAUCUUGACGGUACCUAAUCAGAAAGCCACGGCUAACUACGUG
rnacentral:rRNA from 1 species